rnacentral:rRNA from 1 species
UACAGAGGGGGCAAGCGUUGUUCGGAAUUACUGGGCGUAAAGGGCUCGUAGGCGGCCAACUAAGUCCGACGUGAAAUCCCAAGGCUUAACCUUGGAACUGCGUCGGAUACUGGAUGGCUUGAAUUCGGGAGAGGGAUGCAGAAUUCCAGGUGUAGCGGUGAAAUGCGUAGAUAUCUGGAGGAAUACCGGUGGCGAAGGCGGCAUCCUGGACCGACAUUGACGCUGAUGAGCGAAAGCUAGGGGAGCAAACGGG